rnacentral:lncRNA from 1 species
CAGAAUUAAAAGAUUUCAGGAUUUCUUAAAUACAAUUGCUUGCUAAAGAAGGUAUGUCCAAUUCAUUUUAAUCACGUCAGCUCUUUGAAUAAGAUGAAAAAGUACAGUCCCCAUUUAGGCAGGAAAGGUUAAUUGGGACUCACAAAUUACACCCUAAACCAUUUUGAUUAAAUAAAAUACAUGCUUCAUGCACAUGUGGUUCUGCCUCUUUAUCUCUUUUUGUGUCUGUUGUUAACUUCUUUAAUCAAUGUUCUGGCCAACACUAAAUCCACAAGUGGAAUCAGCUCAUAUUCAUGUACAUCACUUCCUUUAAUGUAAACUUUUGUAGUUCUAUGCAUCUGAAUCAAUCACAAACCAUAAUCUAAUUUGGAUUGCUGGGGCCUAAAAUCGUCUCCAUAUAUCGAUCCCUGUCGCUCAAAAACUUCGUUGAGUUGUAAUCUUCUGCAGCAUAUAGUUCUUCUGAGUACGUCCUAUGAAGUUUCGAUUUCUGCCUCUCUUUCAAAAUUCUCAAACUCUCUUCUUCACCUCUUAGUAUCUGUACGACCUGUAUUGGUUCAAGAAAAAUAUAUUAGUAAGAUCCUCAACAAUGCAUCAAUUUUGCUUCUAUGAUUCUUUUUUCGUGUUAGUAAGGUGUUUACUGGCGUCAACUCACUAACUGUAUGCUUGGAAACAUGGUAGCUCACCUUGAAAAGAGUAUUGGGCGUGAGGGGUGUGGGAAAAAUCCUUCACUUUGGAUAGAUAAGACUCUUGAGAGGAGUUUAUAAAGAGGAGACAAUCCUCACCUUACAAGCCAAGCCGGUUUUAUAAGGUGAGGAUUGCCUCCUCUUUAUAAACUCUUCUCAAGAGUCUUAUCUAUCCGAUGUGGGACUUGGAUUUUUCCCAAUAGAUGUAGCUUUUGUCAUCAUGGAAAAAUGAUUUCCAAGAGACACUAAGUUUUUCUUUCCAGCAAAAUUAUUAGAAUUUAAUUUUGUCAAACUUUUUUUGCUUGCAAACCUCAAUUCGAUUAGAACUGACGUAAAACUAGCCUUUGCAUUCAGAGCCGGCCCAACACUUAUUGAGGCUUAAAGCGAACUCAAAAGAGCGGUCGUGACAAAAAAUAGAG